rnacentral:rRNA from 1 species
CAAAAACAUCGCCUCCCGCAAAACCGAAGUAUAGGAGGUCCUACCUGCCCAGUGACUAUUGUUUAACGGCCGCGGUAUCUUGACGGUGCUAAGGUAGCGAAAUCACUUGUCUUUUAAAUGAGGACCUGUAUGAACGAGUGGAACGAGGGCUUAACUGUCUCCUUUUUCAAGUCAGUGAAAUUGAUCUGCCCGUGCAGAAGCGGACAAUAAGUAUACAAGACGAGAAGACCCUUUGGAGCUUAAGACAUACGAUCAACUGUGUUAAAAAUUAUAUCAAAAAAAUUAAACAAAACAAUAACUGACCCUGCGUCUUCGGUUGGGGCGACCGCGGGGGAAAACAAAGCCCCCACAUAGAAUGGGACAACCUCCUAAAACCAAGAGAGACACCUCUAAGCCACAGAACCUCUGACUAAAAGAUCCGGCGUACGCCGAUCAACGAACCAAGUUACCCUAGGGAUAACAGCGCAAUCCCCUCCAAGAGCCCGUAUCAACAAGGGGGGUUUACGACCUCGAUGUUGGAUCAGGACAUCCCUAAUGGUGCAGCCGCUAUUUAAGGGUUCGUUUUGUUCAACGAUUUAAAGUCCUACGUGAUCUGAG